rnacentral:tRNA from 1 species
CGGGGCGUGGCUCAGUUUGGUAGAGCACAGCUCUUGGGAAGCUGGGGUCGCCUGUUCGAAUCGGGUCGACCCGACCA